rnacentral:lncRNA from 1 species
AAAAAGAAAAGAGGAGGAAAGAAAGGGGAAGGGAAGAAUCUGAAAAUUAAUGUAGGUGUUCUAAUACCCUACUGAGCAAUCUCCCAGAGGAUCCCAGAGAUCAUGAGAUCCUUCUCCUAAGUCUUCAAAGAAGAGCCCUCAAAAGUUCUGACCAGGAAGAGCAGCUGCGGCACCCCCUGCAAAGAGCAGCUAGGCUUCACAUCUGUUCUCCCACUCUCCCUAUCCCCACGCUGCUCUUCCCCACCUCCGAGAAAUGAAGAAUGCAUGCUGGCUUGCUUAGAACCCUGUUGCAUGUGAUGGAAACGCUAGUGAGGAUCAUCCUAAGCAGCUGGCGCUGGUGCUCUCAUACAAGGAGGCACGGCACCUGAAGAGCCCAACACUGCUGGGGGCCACACCAUUAGCCCUGAAACCCC